AGAAAAUUAGCACAAUAACGAUUCCCAAGGUUCAGAUAAUGACCUCAGUGUGCAUUAGAGUCAGUCGCCCUGACGUCCUGCAGACUGUGGUUCCCACUUUUCUAGAAUCAUCUGCUCAAUCCAUCACAUUAACUAGCCUCAGCCGAAUCGUCAGCACCUCUUGCAGCUGUCCUAAAACGACAUGACCAAAAGCCUUGAAUCCAGAGUCACCGAUAUCUCCAGGCACAUGAAGGAAAUAGUCAAAUUUUAAGGACCAAAACACAAGG
rnacentral:misc_RNA from 1 species